AUCUAAGGGGAAAUGGCUCAGUUCUGCCUCCAGGACAAGACUCAAGACAACAAACAUCCACCUGCAGAACCUUAUUUGAGUUCCAAAACAAACAUAGAAAAGCAUAGAAAACUUGUAGAAAGGCUCAGAGUGGUGGGUAGGACAGGUCAAAUCAGAGCACAGUAGAAAGGCUCAGAGUGGUAGGUAGGACAGGUCCAAUCAGAGCACAGUAGAAAGGCUCAGAGUGGUGGGUAGGACAGGUCCAAUCAGAGCACAGUAGAAAGGCUCAGAGUGGUGGGUAGGACAGGUCCAAUCAAAGCACAGUAGAAAGGCUCAGAGUGGUAGGUAGGACAGGUCCAAUCAAAGCACAGUAGAAAGGCUCAGAGUGGUGGGUAGGACAGGUCCAAUCAGAGCACAGUAGAAAGGCUCAGAGUGGUGGGUAGGACAGGUCUAAUCAAAGCACAGUAGAAAGGUUCAGAGUGGUGGGUAGGACAGGUCCAAUCAGAGCACAGUAGAAAGGUUUGGGCUCGCUGUUUUUUUUAUCGUUA